UCAUAUUGUAGAUCCACCAGACCAGCGAAAACUUGAAACUCCUUGUUUGUAUUCAGGGGUAAUAGUAGGAUCCACAGUAGGAGGCAUUCUUCUUACCUUGCUCAUUGUGGGAAGUGUUCACAUGGUUCUGUACAGAAAGGGAUACAAGUUCGGACAUAUUCCAGAAGAAACUGCAUCACGAAAAAGCACCAGGAAUCCCGAAACUGUAGAAAUGGAUAACAGAGGGUAUUCAUCAUUAGAUCAGAUAAAUGGCCCAGUCCAGUAUUCAAAUUUGGAGGAAUCAGAAAAACAACAGUAUUCACAGUUUAAGAUUUAUGAGAAUACAAAAG